AAGUCGUAACAAGGUUUCCGUAGGUGAACCUGCGGAAGGAUCAUUACAUUCAGUAGCCUAGCUACUUGUUUAUACCCUUGUUUUUGCGUACCUAUUGUUUCCUCGGCGGGCUUGCUCGCCGGUUGGACAAAACUAUAACCUUUUUUAAAUCUUCAAUCAGCGUCUGAAUUAUACAUAAUAAUUACAACUUUCAACAACGGAUCUCUUGGUUCUG
rnacentral:misc_RNA from 1 species